UACGAAGGGUGCAAACGUUGCUCGGAAUUAUUGGGCGUAAAGCGCACGUAGGCGGCAUUGCAAGUCGGAUGUGAAAUCUUAUGGCUUAACCAUAAAAGUGCAUCCGAAACUGCAGUGCUUGAGUACUUAAGAGGAUCGCGGAAUUCCCGGUGUAGAGGUGAAAUUCGUAGAUAUCGGGAGGAACACCAGUGGCGAAGGCGGCUCGCUGGGCCGGACCUGACGCUGAGACGCGAAGGCGUGGGGAGCGAACGGG
rnacentral:rRNA from 1 species